GUCCAACUAAAACUAGGAAAAGUAAAGAUAUAAGUAAAGUAGGAAACAUAAUAGACUUAGGAAAACGUCUUCUCUUGGCCAGUGGGAGUGUAGAAUGCCACAUAUGGAUAAGAUUAGGCUUGAACUUCAUCUCUGAUCUGGAACAGGUUUUGUAGGAGAAUGAUCCUUGAAUUGAGCCUUAAAACUAGGAAACUUAUCCAAGUCAACCAAACAUCUGUUACAUAUAGCGGAGAUAGAUAUGGGAGAGGAAAGAAUAAGAAUGGAGCUGUAGUUGUAUGGGGAAGAGAGUAGAGUAGCUGAAGU
rnacentral:misc_RNA from 1 species